rnacentral:lncRNA from 1 species
GUUAAACUGAUUUCGUUAUGAAGAUUCAGCAAACCCUAGCUCUAUUACAUACUACUCUGUGCAACACAUAUACGAUUUCAAGUUUCAAAUGCACAAUAAACUAAUUUCGAGAUUCAAUUUCAUUAUUACUAACAAAUUUUAGCAAUUAAUAGAUUGGAAGUAGCGUAAAACCUCAGUUACUCGAAAUUCAAACGGUAUCGAGAUGAGAAGAAAGUCAGCAAUCGGAAAUCCGGAGAGGCGGCAGGCGAUGGCGGAGCGGUAGCGGCAUUAUGGAGCGAGUCAGGCAGUCCGAUGCCGGCAGCGGCGGAGCACGGCGGCGUUGAGCGGUUGCGGUAGAGAAGCAGGGAGUGUGGAGUGCUGGAUUUCGAUCGGACAUAGAACAGGAGCUUUGUGUUCUUCAAAUUUGUGAACAGCAGAACCAACUCCAUCAGAAGUCAAGCUUUGUGUUCUUCAAAUUUGUGAUCGGAGCCCAGAUUUUGAAUUUUAGAGAGAGAGAGAGUUGAGAGAGAGACAGAAAGUGAGUUUGAGAGAGAGAGAGAGAGAGCUGAGAGUUCAAUUGCUCAAAGAAAGUGAGUUUGAAAGUGGAGCCAGAUUUCAUCUAUAUAUAUGUAUAUGGUUUAAAUUUUAAAUUUGUAGUCAAGAUUUUGAAUUUUGAAUAUCAACAGAGGUUUUAACGGCAGAUAUUUAAAGUGUGGAUGAACAUCAGUGCUUCCACCUCAUCAUUGAUGACAUAA